AUUCCCACAAUUCAAUCAAAUUUCAUGGGUUUAACAACAACAUCUUCAUCAUUCACACAAUUCAAUCAAAUUUUAUCUGUUUAACAACAAUAUAUUCAUCUUCAUACAAUUCAAUCAAAUUUCACGGGUUUAACAAUAACAUUUUCAUCAUUCACACAGUUCAAUCAAAUUUCAUGGGUUAACAUCAACAUUUUCAUCAUUCUCAUAAUUCAAUCAAAUUUCAUGGGUUUAACAACAACAUUUUCAUCAUUCACAUAAUUCAAUCAAAUUUUAUGGGUUUAACAUCAAA
rnacentral:lncRNA from 1 species